CAUGUUUAAGCACCACCAUGAUUAUGGUUGUUGAAUGUUCCUCUUCAGGCCAAUCAAAACACACUUUGGUCUUUACUUGACUGUCUUCCAGUCAUCUCAAAAUUAACAUGCCCUGAAGAGAACGCUUGAUUAUCACUCCAUCGAAGUCUAUUUCUCUCCCAGUCUUCAACUACUGAGUAAAUGGCACUGGUAUCUGAACCGUGACUUAAUCCAAAAUUGGGUCUUCACACAAGAAUUUACCACCAGCUUGUGCUAGCCUCAGAUCAAGGGCACAUGCAUGCCUAGAAUAUUCAGGGAGGUCUCCAAAUGCAAAUCUGGAACCUACCCAUGUGAUCAGCCUCACAGAACAUGGCAUUUGACUG